rnacentral:rRNA from 1 species
GCGAGUGAAGCGGGAAAAGCUCAAAUUUAAAAUCUGGCGGUCUCCGGCCGUCCGAGUUGUAAUCUAGAGAAGUGUUAUCCGCGCUGGACCGUGUACAAGUCUCCUGGAAUGGAGCGUCAUAGAGGGUGAGAAUCCCGUCUUUGACACGGACUGCCAGGGCUUUGUGAUGCGCUCUCAAAGAGUCGAGUUGUUUGGGAAUGCAGCUCAAAAUGGGUGGUAAAUUCCAUCUAAAGCUAAAUAUUGGCGAGAGACCGAUAGCGAACAAGUACCGUGAGGGAAAGAUGAAAAGAACUUUGGAAAGAGAGUUAAACAGUACGUGAAAUUGCUGAAAGGGAAACGCUUGAAGUCAGUCGCGUUGGCCGGGGAUCAACCUUGCUUUUGCUGGGCGUACUUUCCGGUUGACGGGUCAGCAUCAAUUUUGACCGUUGGAUAAAGUCUAGGGGAAUGUGGCAUCUUCGGAUGUGUUAUAGCCCUUGGUCGCAUACAACGGUUGGGAUUGAGGAACUCAGCACGCCGCAAGGCCGGGUACUUGUACCACGUUCGUGCUUAGGAUGCUGGCAUAAUGGCUUUAAUCGACCCGUCUUGAAACACGGACCAAGGAGUCUAACAUGCCUGCGAGUGUUUGGGUGGAAAACUCGGACGCGUAAUGAAAGUGAAAGUUGA